ensembl:lncRNA
CAAUGGAAGAAAUUAACAAAUUGAACCAAUUUUUACAGGAAGAAGCUGCCUCUGACCAAAAGAAAGAGCAGAGAAAACAGGAUUAUAUCAUGUCGAUGGAGCACAGAAUUAAGGCUAUGGAAGCUGAGAUGGUGGAAAUAAAAUCUCGUACAAUUUCUAUGAAAACAGAACUGAGAUUACAUAAAAAAAGCUAUAGAGCUGAAUUGAAAACUGAAGAAUCUUUGGAAUACGAACUUGAAAAUGAGGCAAGAGGAUCACCAGAAGUUGGAAUUUCAUGCCAGUCCCAGCAACACAACAAGAUCCUGUCUUAAAUUCAAGGACUCUGGGCCGACGUAGCAAACAGAGGCAUCAACAUGAAGAGUAAGGUGGUGGAAGCUCCACCUAAAGGCAUCUUCCUACACAACAGCAAGAACCCUAAAGUCAACUCAGAUUUUGAGCCUCCAGUCUACUGCAGUGUGUUGGAACCACCUAAUUAGGCAGACAGAACUAUGAUCACAGAGGAACCCUAUGUCCUUCAACUGAGGAAUGGAUAUAGAAAUUGUUGUACAUUUACACAAUGGAGUACUACUCAGCUAUUAGAAACAGUACUUCAUGAAAUUCUCAGACAAAUGGAUGUAAUUUGAAAAUAUCAUCCUGAGUGAGGUAACUCAAUCACAAAAGAACAUACAUGGAUUGUAUGUACUCACUGAUAAGCGGAUAUUAACCUAAAAGCUUGGAAUACCCAAGAUACAAUUCAUAAAUCCCAUGAAGUUCAAGAAGAAGGAAGACCAAAAUGUGGAUGUUUCAGACCUCUUUAGAAGGAGGAACAAAAAUAAUCAGAGGAGGAAAUAUGGAGACAAUGUAUGGAGCAGAGACUGAAGAAAUGGCCAUUCAGAGACUGCCCCACCUGUGUGUGGUAUCCACCACUUAUACAGACACCAAACCCAGACACUAUUGCAGAUGCCAAGAAGUGCAUGCUGACAGGAGCCUGAUAUAGCUAGCUGUCUCCUGAGAAGCUCUGCCAGAGCUUGACAAAUACAGAGGUGGAUGCUGGCAGCCAACCAUUGAACUGAGAACAGUGUCCUCAGUGGAGGAGUUAGAGGAAGAACUGAAGGGGUUCGCAAUUCUAUAAGAACCACAGUGUCCACCAACCAGAUGGCCCAGAGCACCAAAAGAGAUCACAAGAGAUCACAGGGAUGAACUUAUGGCUCCAUCUGCAUAUGUAGGACAGGAUGGCAUGGUAGGGCAUUAAUGGCUGGAGAAGCCCUUGGUCCUGUCAAUGAUUGAUGCCCCAGUGUAGGGGAGUAUCAGGGUGGGAACGUGGUGAGUGGAUGAGGGAGCCCUCUCACAGAAGCAAGGGCAGAGUGGGAUAGUGGGUUUCUUGAGGGGAAAUCUGGAAAGGAGAUAACACUUAAAAUGUAAAUAAAAAAUCAUCCAAUCAAAGUUAAAAACAACAACAACAAAAAAGACAACAGACUCAGGAUUGAAGGGGAAAAUCAUGGAUUUAUUAUGCAUAUGAAGUAGCCAAUUAUAAGCUUAUAAACAUUAUAAAAUCAUAUUUUCAAGUGUUUAAAUCCACUUUAUUUUCUAUCAGAAAUGUGCAAAAAUUUUAGUUUUGUUAUUAUAUAUCAUUGUUCC